rnacentral:rRNA from 1 species
GGAAUAUUGGACAAUGGGCGAAAGCCUGAUCCAGCAAUGCCGCGUGUGUGAAGAAGGCCUGCGGGUUGUAAAGCACUUUUAUCGGGAAAGAAAAUCACAGGACUAAUACUUCUGUGCCUUGACGGUACCCGAAGAAUAAGCACCGGCUAACUCCGUGCCACCGGCCGCGGUAAUACGGAGGGUGCAAGCGUUAAUCGGAAUUACUGGGCGUAAAGCGGGUGUAGGUGGCUAUGUAAGUCGGAUGUGAAAUCCCCGGGCUCAACCUGGGAAUUGCAUUCAAAACUGGCAUGCUAGAGUAUGUGAGAGGGGGGUAGAAUUCCAAGUGUAGCGGUGAAAUGCGUAGAGAUUUGGAGGAAUACCAGUGGCGAAGGCGGCCCCCUGGCACAAUACUGACGCUCAGGUGCGAAAGCGUGGGGAGCAAAC